AAACAAAGGCGUUAACGUGGCACUCUCCCAGGAUACCUUGAGGUCGCUGAACACACGGAAAAUAAAAGCCGCCAUGUUGGUGGUCCUGUUUAUGUGUUUUCGGGUCACUUUGGAGUGAAACAGGUUGCUGGUUUACAGGACGGACACUACAUGCUUUCUCUGGAGGUACCGGGUUGGACGAUGAAACUGAAACACUGGUGGUUAUAGUUUUGGAGGUUUCGCAUCUACAUAAACUUGAUCUGUUGGACAGUCUUCACCGAUUCCAUAAGAGCAGAGUGUAGGUUGAAUCAGCAGAGCAGUAACACACCUGCAGCUAAAACACUGCAGUCCACACAACAUAAUGGGAGAUAUAUCCGAGUUCAAAAGAGGACAAAUCGUUGGUGCUCGUCUCGCCGGAGCAUCCGUGAGCAGGACAGCAGGUCUUUGUGAUGUAUCGAGAGCCACGGUGUCCAAAGUAAUGACCGCAUACGUUCUCGAAGGACGAACUACAUCUAAGAGGAGUAACUGUCGACGUAAGAGGAAACUGUCAGAAAAGGAUGUACAGGUACUAAUCCAGAUCGUAUCCAGAAACCCUGAAACCACGGCUGCCAAAAUCACUGCAGAAUUAAACGCACACCUCAACUCUCCCGUUUCCACCAAAACUGUUCGGCGAGAGCUCCACAGGGCCAAUAUAUACGGUGGUGCUCAAAAAAAAAACAUGAAUGUUUAAAAUUCUGUUCUUAAGUGUGUUUUAUAAAAUGUUUAGGAAACUUCCUUUUAAAAUGAUGUGACAGACACCAUGGUGAAGGAAUCUCACUGGAUUCUAAUCUCAGGUCAUUGAGUAUUUUUGUGCACAUGAUGUUUUUCCUCGUGUUUUAGCCUUGACUGUUAUCUAAACUCUAAAGUUUGUCCUCCUGCUUCCACGCAUCAGCUUUAAAGCCAGAUGUGUCCCAUUUAGACACAGAUUUCAUUAUAUAGAGCAUCAAUAUACUGUCGUGGGUUUUUUCAUGCUCUUGGUUUCUUGUUUCUUCCUUAAGCAGAUGAAAAUAUACUGUUUUUUUUUUUUGACCAAGAAGAAGAACACAGACAAUAAGAAGUUUGUCAUUAUUAAGGACUCAUCAACCACCAAUAUGGCGAUUCUAACAGCCCGUUGUUCAUCGGGACCUUUAGUACGGGUGUAUUUUAUUAUAAUCAGGCAUCAUCAGCGGAUACCAUGAGGUCCUUGAAGACCUGGUAGAUAAAAGCCGCCAUGUUGAAGGUCCCAGUCUUUCUAUUUCCGACUGGAGCAACUUGCUCGUUAGCUGGACGGACACUGAACACACUCUCUGGAGGACAGCAUGGACGGUGAUGAAGAGUGAAGACUACGUUUGGGGAAAAUUCAAGUAUAGAAGAGAAUUUUUUUUUUUUUUUUUUUUCUAGUUUCUGAAAUCAGCUCGAUGUCUCCGUGAUCUGAAGUGUGUACGAGUCUUAAUAAAGUCCUCCGUUUAAAAACUGA